rnacentral:rRNA from 1 species
CACUAUCGUUAACUGAAUACAUAGGUUAACGAGGCGAACCGGGGGAACUGAAACAUCUAAGUACCCCGAGGAAAAGAAAUCAACCGAGAUUCCCCCAGUAGCGGCGAGCGAACGGGGAGCAGCCCAGAGUCUGAAUCAGCUUGUGUGUUAGUGGAACGGUCUGGAAAGUCCGACGGUACAGGGUGAUAGUCCCGUACACCAAAAUGCACAGGUUGUGAACUCGAAGAGUAGGGCGGGACACGUGGUAUCCUGUCUGAAUAUGGGGGGACCAUCCUCCAAGGCUAAAUACUCCUGACUGACCGAUAGUGAACCAGUACCGUGAGGGAAAGGCGAAAAGAACCCCGGCGAGGGGAGUGAAAAAGAACCUGAAACCGUGUACGUACAAGCAGUGGGAGCACCUUCGGGUGUGACUGCGUACCUUUUGUAUAAUGGGUCAGCGACUUAUAUUCUGUAGCAAGGUUAACCGUAUAGGGGAGCCGCAGGGAAACCGAGUCUUAACUGGGCGUUAAGUUGCAGGGUAUAGACCCGAAACCCGGUGAUCUAGCCAUGGGCAGGUUGAAGGUUGGGUAACACUAACUGGAGGACCGAACCGACUAAUGUUGAAAAAUUAGCGGAUGACUUGUGGCUGGGGGUGAAAGGCCAAUCAAACCGGGAGAUAGCUGGUUCUCCCCGAAAGCUAUUUAGGUAGCGCCUCGUGAACUCAUCUUCGGGGGUAGAGCACUGUUUCGGCUAGGGGGUCAUCCCGACUUACCAACCCGAUGCAAACUACGAAUACCGAAGAAUGUUAUCACGGGAGACACACGGCGGGUGCUAACGUCCGUCGUGAAGAGGGAAACAACCCAGACCGCCAGCUAAGGUCCCAAAGUCAUGGUUAAGUGGGAAACGAUGUGGGAAGGCACAGACAGCCAGGAUGUUGGCUUAGAAGCAGCCAUCAUUUAAAGAAAGCGUAAUAGCUCACUGGUCGAGUCGGCCUGCGCGGAAGAUGUAACGGGGCUAAACCAUGCACCGAAGCUGCGGCAGCGACACUAUGUGUUGUUGGGUAGGGGAGCGUUCUGUAAGCCUGCGAAGGUGUGCUGUGAGGCAUGCUGGAGGUAUCAGAAGUGCGAAUGCUGACAUAAGUAACGAUAAAGCGGGUGAAAAGCCCGCUCGCCGGAAGACCAAGGGUUCCUGUCCAACGUUAAUCGGGGCAGGGUGAGUCGACCCCUAAGGCGAGGCCGAAAGGCGUAGUCGAUGGGAAACAGGUUAAUAUUCCUGUACUUGGUGUUACUGCGAAGGGGGGACGGAGAAGGCUAUGUUAGCCGGGCGACGGUUGUCCCGGUUUAAGCAUGUAGGCUGAUUAUCCAGGCAAAUCCGGAUAAUCAAGGCUGAGGUGUGAUGACGAGGCACUACGGUGCUGAAGUAACAAAUGCCCUGCUUCCAGGAAAAGCCUCUAAGCAUCAGGUAACAUCAAAUCGUACCCCAAACCGACACAGGUGGUCAGGUAGAGAAUACCAAGGCGCUUGAGAGAACUCGGGUGAAGGAACUAGGCAAAAUGGUGCCGUAACUUCGGGAGAAGGCACGCUGGUGUGUAGGUGAAGUCCCUGCGGAUGGAGCUGAGACCAGUCGAAGAUACCAGCUGGCUGCAACUGUUUAUUAAAAACACAGCACUGUGCAAACACGAAAGUGGACGUAUACGGUGUGACGCCUGCCCGGUGCCGGAAGGUUAAUUGAUGGGGUUAUCCGUAAGGAGAAGCUCUUGAUCGAAGCCCCGGUAAACGGCGGCCGUAACUAUAACGGUCCUAAGGUAGCGAAAUUCCUUGUCGGGUAAGUUCCGACCUGCACGAAUGGCGUAAUGAUGGCCAGGCUGUCUCCACCCGAGACUCAGUGAAAUUGAACUCGCUGUGAAGAUGCAGUGUACCCGCGGCAAGACGGAAAGACCCCGUGAACCUUUACUAUAGCUUGACACUGAACAUUGAGCCUUGAUGUGUAGGAUAGGUGGGAGGCUUUGAAGCGUGGACGCCAGUCUGCGUGGAGCCAACCUUGAAAUACCACCCUUUAAUGUUUGAUGUUCUAACGUUGGCCCCUGACCGGGGUUGCGGACAGUGUCUGGUGGGUAGUUUGACUGGGGCGGUCUCCUCCCAAAGCGUAACGGAGGAGCACGAAGGUUAGCUAAUCCUGGUCGGACAUCAGGAGGUUAGUGCAAUGGCAUAAGCUAGCUUGACUGCGAGCGUGACGGCGCGAGCAGGUGCGAAAGCAGGUCAUAGUGAUCCGGUGGUUCUGAAUGGAAGGGCCAUCGCUCAACGGAUAAAAGGUACUCCGGGGAUAACAGGCUGAUACCGCCCAAGAGUUCAUAUCGACGGCGGUGUUUGGCACCUCGAUGUCGGCUCAUCACAUCCUGGGGCUGAAGUAGGUCCCAAGGGUAUGGCUGUUCGCCAUUUAAAGUGGUACGCGAGCUGGGUUUAGAACGUCGUGAGACAGUUCGGUCCCUAUCUGCCGUGGGCGCUGGAGAAUUGAGGGGGGCUGCUCCUAGUACGAGAGGACCGGAGUGGACGCAUCACUGGUGUUCGGGUUGUCAUGCCAAUGGCACUGCCCGGUAGCUAAAUGCGGAAGAGAUAAGUGCUGAAAGCAUCUAAGCACGAAACUUGCCCCGAGAUGAGUUCUCCCUGAGACUUUAAGUCUCCUGAAGGAACGUUGAAGACGACGACGUUGAUAGGCCGGGUGUGUAAGCGCAGCGAUGCGUUGAGCUAACCGGUACUAAUGAACCGUGAGGCUUAACCUU